AACAACUGGAUCGCUAGGUCGAGCUGCUUCUCUUCAAGAUGUCCCCCUUCGGUGGACUACCCUGCCAAACAAACCAAAAAGACUCGUGAGGCCCUGAAGGUAUCAGAUCUUUGGACCAACUCUCCAAGGCUUUCCGGGGCAUUGACAGAAGCGCUUCUCUUCCCAUUACUCAAAGCCACAUUCAUCUAUUACCUAAGACUAAACUGUUCCUAUUUUAAGAGGGGACUGUUUGUUGAGACUUUACACAUAGUCCGUAACCUGCUACGCAUCAUCUCUAGCCCCUUCUGCUUUCAUAACACUUUCGGUAAUUAAAGGUGGUAAUUAAGAGCACCCAUUGCCCUAUGGGCUGCAGGAAGACAUUUCUCCUGCUCUGAGGAGGUGCUUAAAAGCCAUGCUGUUUUCGGUAGCAUUUCUGGGGCUUCCCAGAGCCCAUCAGUGUUCUCUUAGGCUUUUCCUGAGCCUUUUAUUUUUUUUAGGGUAUUCCUUAGCCUGCAAUUUUAUGUCAAUGUUCUCCUGAAGCAUUGUGCACAGCACGAUUAUCCCACAUCAGUCACAUCUUGCACRUACAGAGGGUUCUGAGAGGCAGCUCAAAGAAAAAGGGAGAAAAAUCUGCCCGUCACCUGUGCACCCACCCGUCAACAUUCUGCACCAAGAAGUGCUGUAAAUUCCCUUUUCUCUAAAGUGGCACCGAGUCCAGGGGCAGACACACAUCACCGCCCACAUUUCUUAGAACACCUCACUGCUGCGGGCACUGGCUCUGGCAGUGGUUGUAGGACUGUUUGGGACUUUGGGACAGAGUUYAGGGGSAAGGUCUGGAGUCAGKGACCAUGUUGCGGCAGGGUUUGGAGGCAYUUGGGGGUGCGUGGGGGUGUGGGGGCAGCAUUUGUGGGUGGUUUAAUGGCUUUGGGGGGGCUGGUUGCAGGAAGGGUGGGAAUCUGCAGGGCCCUCAGGGCAGGGGGGGGGGGGGGGAAGCAACCUUCAUACAUGUGAGUGGAAUACUCCCCUAGAAUUCCAAAUUUUUCAUUCUGUUACAUUUUGCCAGAGU
rnacentral:lncRNA from 1 species